ACCUACGGGGGGCAGCAGUAGGGAAUCUUCCACAAUGGGCGAAAGCCUGAUGGAGCAACGCCGCGUGGGUGAAGAAGGUCUUCGGAUCGUAAAACCCUGUUGUUAGAGAAGAAAGUGCAUGAGAGUAACUGUUCACGUUUCGACGGUAUCUAACCAGAAAGCCACGGCUAACUACGUGCCAGCAGCCGCGGUAAUACGUAGGUGGCAAGCGUUAUCCGGAUUUAUUGGGCGUAAAGGGAACGCAGGCGGUCUUUUAAGUCUGAUGUGAAGGCCUUCGGCUUAACCGGAGUAGUGCAUUGGAAACU
rnacentral:rRNA from 1 species